rnacentral:rRNA from 1 species
AUUGAACGCUGGCGGCAGGCCUAACACAUGCAAGUCGAGCGGCAGCGGGAAAGUAGCUUGCUACUUUUGCCGGCGAGCGGCGGACGGGUGAGUAAUGCCUGGGGAUCUGCCCAGUCGAGGGGGAUAACUACUGGAAACGGUAGCUAAUACCGCAUACGCCCUACGGGGGAAAGCAGGGGACCUUCGGGCCUUGCGCGAUUGGAUGAACCCAGGUGGGAUUAGCUAGUUGGUGAGGUAAUGGCUCACCAAGGCGACGAUCCCUAGCUGGUCUGAGAGGAUGACAAGCCACACUGGAACUGAGACACGGUCCAGACUCCUACGGGAGGCAGCAGUGGGGAAUAUUGCACAAUGGGGGAAACCCUGAUGCAGCCAUGCCGCGUGUGUGAAGAAGGCCUUCGGGUUGUAAAGCACUUUCAGCGAGGAGGAAAGGUUGGUAGCUAAUAACUGCCAGCUGUGACGUUACUCGCAGAAGAAGCACCGGCUAACUCCGUGCCAGCCGCCGCAGUAAGAC